rnacentral:rRNA from 1 species
AGUGAACGCUGGCGGCAGGCCUAAUACAUGCAAGUCGAACGGCAGCACAGCAGAGCUUGCUCUGUGGGUGGCGAGUGGCGGACGGGUGAGGAAUACAUGGGAAUCUGCCCAGUCGUGGGGGAUAACGUAUGGAAACGUACGCUAAUACCGCAUGCGCCCUAAGGGGGAAAGCCGGGGACCGCAAGGCCUGGCGCGAUUGGAUGAGCCCAUGUUCGAUUAGCUAGUUGGCGGGGUAAAGGCCCACCAAGGCGACGAUCGAUAGCUGGUCUGAGAGGAUGAUCAGCCACACUGGAACUGAGACACGGUCCAGACUCCUACGGGAGGCAGCAGUAGGGAAUAUUGGACAAUGGGGGCAACCCUGAUCCAGCCAUGCCGCGUGAGUGAUGAAGGC